rnacentral:sRNA from 3 species
AUCACGUCGGUUCCUCCGCGCCAUCCGCACCCAUCUGACAACGGCUCGCUAUGUUCAUCAGCC